rnacentral:rRNA from 1 species
UACGUAGGUGGCAAGCGUUGUUCGGAAUUAUUGGGCGUAAAGGGCGCGUAGGCGGUUUGUUAAGUCGGUCGUGAAAGCCCGGGGCUCAACCCCGGAGGGUCGACCGAUACUGGCAGACUAGAGUACAGAAGAGGUAGCUGGAAUUCCCGGUGUAGCGGUGAAAUGCGCAGAUAUCAGGAGGAACACCGGUGGCGAAGGCGGGUCUCUGGGAAGUAACUGACGCUGAGAAGCGAAAGCAUGGGUAGCAAACAGG